GUUGUUAGGAGUCGUCAUGGCAACAGGUGGCCAAUGAGGGCUGCCGUCACUGCACUGUUGACCGGACGUGGGCAGUAAUCUGAUUACAGUCGGUCCCAUCAGAAAUUCAGAAGCUCAAGAACCUUCAGUGGUCCAUGCUGGUCCCUCUUCUCGUCCUCCCACACCGACAAAGAGUCCAUGUCGUGUUUUAAAACGUCAGCUCUGAAUUCAUCGAGACAUCAUCCGCACAAAUUCUGUGAAGUAAAUAAAAAAUGGACAGAUUGUUUUACA